GCCCGGAUAGCUCAGUCGGUAGAGCGUGAGGCUUUUAACCUUAAGGCCGAGGGUUCGAGCCCCUCUCCGGGCG
rfam:Microsporidia sp. TGP3 contig-13, whole genome shotgun sequence.